rnacentral:misc_RNA from 1 species
AACAUACCUAAAACGUUGCUUCGGCGGGAACAGACGGCCCUGUAACAACGGGCCGCCCCCGCCAGAGGACCCCUAACUCUGUUUUUAUAAUGUUUUUCUGAGUAAACAAGCAAAUAAAUUAAAACUUUCAACAACGGAUCUCUUGGCUCUGGCAUCGAUGAAGAACGCAGCGAAAUGCGAUAAGUAAUGUGAAUUGCAGAAUUCAGUGAAUCAUCGAAUCUUUGAACGCACAUUGCGCCCGCCAGUAUUCUGGCGGGCAUGCCUGUUCGAGCGUCAUUACAACCCUCAGGCCCCCGGGCCUGGCGUUGGGGAUCGGCAGAAGCCCCCUGUGGGCACACGCCGUCCCUCAAAUACAGUGGCGGUCCCGCCGCAGCUUCCAUUGCGUAGUAGCUAACACCUCGCAACUGGAGAGCGGCGCGGCCAUGCCGUAAAACACCCAACUUCUGAA